AUAGCCUUUUCCUGUGUACUUUAAAGGUUGAUGCAGCAGAUAGGUUAAAAUCUAGAGAGGAGAUUGCAGAACUCCUCUUUGGAUCCUGGCCGGUGUCACAGCU
ensembl:snoRNA